rnacentral:lncRNA from 1 species
AUUCAUGAAAUUAAACGUUUUACCUUUGUUUGAUGCUCUCCUUUCGUUUCCCUUUUAUUCCCAUUCCAUGUUGAGCGUGUGAAGAAAACCUCACAUUAAAAAUUAAUAAGAAAUACAAUUAAGUUAUCUAGCUCACCCAAGCGUCUUUGGAUUGAGUUAGGCAACAAACUGGUAUCAUACUGAUGGUUCCAUGAGAUGAGAGUAUGAAGACGAAGGAUAGUAGCUCUUGUGUUGAAGCUAAUGGAGAGCUAAAGAACAAGCCCAACGGUUUCUCAGGCCAUGGAUGGCUUAUACUCAUCUCUUACUGCUCUUAUGUGCUUGAUGCUUAAAGGUUCCAAGCCAGACGACGAAGUUCUUCAUUCAAACCUUCACCGAUUCGAGGUUUCCGGCCAUCUCCAACCUUGCUCCGGCAUAGCCUAGUCUAUCGAGUCUGAUUCCGACCUUAUCCAACUUAGAUCGGACAUUUUCUAAGCCUUUAUCACUCUAGGGUUCCUUCGAAACCCUAGCUAUUCAAGGUUUUUCUUCGAUUCUUUUUAGAUCCGUUAUAUUUAUGCUAUGCGUGAAUUUUCAAACGAUUUCCCUAAAUUUUCCUUUGAAAAUUACUUUCAAAAUACUUCUUGUUUGAUACAAGGUUUUCUGGAAAAUGUUUAAGUAUUUUAUAAUUUUCCUUGUUUAUUGUUUGUGUUGUUUCUUCUACUGUGUUUCCUAUAUUGUGUUCUCAACUUCUUUCUACCGUGUUCUUAUACUUUUCCUACUGUGUUCUUGUGUGUUCUUUUACUGAAUUUUUCAUUUCUAUUGUGUUUUCUACGCUAUGUGCUCGCGUGCUAUGUCCUGCAAUCUUUUUCCUCUAUGAUGUGAGGUGCUUCUCUUACUGUAUCUCUCUACCAUAUUCUUAAGUAUUCCCGUUAUUUUUACCAUGUUUAAGCAUGUGUUUCUUCUACUGUUUCUUUCACUAUCAGUUGUUCUCUCAUUAUGCUUCGAAUUGGCUUUUUCACCCUGUUUACUUAAUCUUCAUACUUGUCUGCAUGUUUCUCAUGAGUUUCUGAAAAGAAAUCUCUGAGCCUGUUGCAUCCUCAUUUUUGUACUUGACUCGGGAAGAGAAAGCCUAGAAUUUUGGGUUUUUCCUCCAAGUUUGGGCUUAUAAUCAGACUAGGCUCUGUUUGAGAAUUCUAGACUCUUUCAAACUUAUUUCUAAAUCUAUCAACUGACUGUGAACUUCUUUUGUAUGAAUAUAAUUCUAAUUCUCCUACACUAGACUCUCAUAUUGAAUGGCAUGACAAAGUUCUUCAUGUUUAAACGUAUCUGUAUGCUUUUUAUAUAUGAUGAUUCUUUCUUCAAAGAGAUUUUCAAGCUAGUGAUUGAAUCAGAAUCCCUUUUUAAUAGGUCUAAUUGAUUGUUACUGAUUUUUCAUAACUUAAAACCUUUUCCGCCUUUUUGAUUGGGUUCAUUCGUACCAAAUCUGUAAUCUCUGAUUUGCUGGCUGUUAGCUGAUUCCUUUGCCUUAUUUGUACAAACUGUGUGCUUUCGGAAACCAUGUCCUUAAAUAACCUUGAUGUAUUUUCCUUCAAUUGCAUGCUUUGCAGAAAAGUCUUGUUUAAUUUCUUUCCUUAAAUUGGUUUAUACCUGUUUGAAUUUGAAUCCCUUAAUUAAAGGGAGUCUUAUGUGAUUGAUUGAAAAUCAGAUUUCAAUUAUUUUCUUACCUUAUUUCUCAUGACUUUCACACUAUGAAUACAUGUCUUUCUUUAACACAGACAAGAUUAAUAGAAAAAACAUUCUUAAAACUACACAGUCACAAGUCUUUUCUGAACUUAUAAUAUUCGUGCUUCUUGUCUGCACUUUGGCUUUUAUAAUGUUGUUACUUCUCUUUACGUGUUUCUUCAAAACUGGUACGUCCUGACUUAAUUUCCAGCAUCACCCAAAUGUGUUUAAGUACAAGUCCUAAUACCUAUGUCUACUUUCUUUUCCUGUAAAGUUUAAAACUUGACUUAAAGGGCCUAUAUGAUAUUGCAUGCUUCUCUUUUUUGUGAACAAUUUUUCCCUAUCCUAUUAUCCCCUAUAUGCUUGAGAGGGACUUGGGGCAUGGCAACAAGAAUUGUUGUUCAUGACCUAAGUUUUGGACACCCCUAACCCCUAAGUAGGCUGGAAGGUGUACUAGUAUGUCUCAUUGUUGGGUAUGCCUCUUUGCCUGCUCUUUCAUUACAUCCUGCUUUUAUAUGAAUCCCUAUACCCCAUUCCCCUAUGUAUGCUGAGUUAAGGUAUAGCCUGGCAGCAUCCAAAUUAUUGUCCAUGGCUGAACCUGACCUUCAAUAGGUCUUAACUUCUAAAUUUAAAUUGACAAGCUGGUCAGGGGUGUGCCAGCGCCCUAAAUUUCUUGGCAUGACCACUAGCUUUCCAUUUCCCCUUCUAUUGCACUUGCAGUUAUUCUUAGACCCUAAGUUCUGCCUCCCUACUAUGAGCCCUGCCUUGGGAACCUUGAGUUUCCCUCUAAACUUGGACAUUUGAGGGUUGGUCCUUCCACACUGCACCAUAAUUCAGUUCUGCAAUAUAUUUGGGUGUAAGCACUGCCCGGAAUCCGUUUGAGAUUCUUAAGGAACUCUUACACAUCCUAAAUAAGAGAAAGGCUUUGGAAUUUGGCUCUUGGGAGGUGGUUUACUUCAUGCUUCAGACAGAAGCCCGAAUCAGGCUCUCCUUGGCUGGGACCGUUUAGCUUUCUGAUGUAUUUUACUUUUCUUUAUUCAUUCGGGUUUGUAAUAAUUUGUAAUAACUAUGGGGUUCUAGUGAAAAGGAGAGGGUUACUCAUAUAUGCAUAUGGAUAGACAUCCUGCUUUAUGUAUUUACUUUUUCAAUCACAACUUGCUC